rfam:Dipodomys ordii contig_51916, whole genome shotgun sequence.
AUGGAGACAUGGCCUAAAGCCAGACAGUGAGAGACAUGAACUCUUUAGACCAUCACUUGAACUGAUUCACAUCUCAUGUU